UACAGAGGCCACAAGCGUUAGGCGGAAUCACUGGGCUUAAAGGGCGCGUAGGCGGGUCCGGCAGUCAGGGGUGAAAUCCCACGGCCCAACCGUGGAAGUGCCUCUGAUACUUCGGACCUCGAGGGAGGUAGGGGCGUGCGGAACUGUGGGUGGAGCGGUGAAAUGCGUUGAUAUCCACAGGAACUCCGGUGGCGAAGGCGGCACGCUGGACCUCUUCUGACGCUGAGGCGCGAAAGCCAGGGGAGCAAACGGG
rnacentral:rRNA from 1 species